rnacentral:rRNA from 1 species
AUUGAACGCUGGCGGCAUGCUUUACACAUGCAAGUCGAGCGGCAGCGCGUCCCCGUAAGGGGAUGGCGGCGAGCGGCGAACGGGUGAGUAAUGCAUCGGAACGUGUCCCGUAGAGGGGGAUAGCCCGGCGAAAGCCGGAUUAAUACCGCAUAUGCUCUACGGAGGAAAGCGGGGGACUCGCAAGGGCCUCGCGCUAUGGGAGCGGCCGAUGUCCGAUUAGCUUGNGGCGGGGUAAUGGCCCACCAAGGCGACGAUCGGUAGCUGGUCUGAGAGGAUGAUCAGCAACACUGGGACUGAGACACGGCCCAGACUCCUACGGGAGGCAGCAGUGGGGAAUUUUGGACAAUGGGGAAACCCUGACUCAGCCAUGCCGCGUGAGUGAAGAAGG